ensembl:lncRNA
CAACACUAUUUGCAACUACUGGUGGUGGUGGUUAUCAGGUACUAAAUUCAUAAAGAAAAAUUCGGUUUCAUAACUCAGGUUAACCUGCAGCAACCCCGGCGAGUGUGACCACGUCGGUGGAUCAUCUAGAAAACACUCUUGAGUUCGCUGUCACGAAAGUGGCGUAACAUAGGAAAAUAAAACUCAAGGUUGCAGUGGCAACCCCGGUGAGUGCGUGACCACGUCGGUGGCACAUCAAGGGCACUCGUGAGUAUGACCACGUCGGUGGCACGUUAUCUAGUACUCAUGGUUUGACUGCAGUAAACCCGGUGAUCGCGUUGCCCACGUCGGUGGGAACAACUCAAGCACUCGUGGGUUCGUUGCGCACGUCGGUCGCGGUACAACACAGAACUUCAUGUUCGCUGCAGCAACCAUGGUAGUGCGUUGACCACGUCGGUGGGCACAACUCAGGCACAUGCAAAUUUAAUUACCACGUCGGUGGCAUAAUACCAAAAGCUCAAGUGCAGGGCAC